GGCGAGUGAAGAGGGAAAAGCUCAAAGUUGGAACCUGGUAGGCAUAGCUUACCCGGAUUGUAAACUAAAGUUUUCGAGUCGUUUAGUCAGCCAGGUAAAUAAGUCCUCUGGAAAGGGGCGACAUAGAGGGUGAAAUCCCCGUCUUUGGCCUGAGUUUUGAUUAGGCGUUUGGCUUGGAAACGAAGAGUCAGGUUGUUUGGGAAUGCAGCCUAAAAUGGGAGGUAAAUCUCUCCUAAAGCUAAAUAUUGACGAAAGACCGAUAGCGAACAAGUACCGUGAGGGAAAGAUGAAAAGCACUUUGAAAAGAGGGUCAAAAAGUACGUGAAAUUGCUGAAAGGGAACCGUAUGAAAUCAGAUCUACUGGUAGGUAAUCAAUCUUUCCUUUGGGAAGGAUGCACUUGCCUACUAUGUAUGCCAGCGACAUUUUGGUUGGGAGGAAAAAAAUAAAGGAAAUGUAGCUUAGGUUUCGGCUUAGGUGUUAUAGUCCUUUAUAAAAUACUCUCGGCUGGAAUGAGGAACGCAGCAAACCGUAAGGCGAAGAUUUCAGGCGCUUAGAGGGAAUAAUUAGAGAAUUUCUGCUUCGGGUGGUGCUUUGAUUAUUACCUUUAACACGCUUGGAGUUCUUUUAAU
rnacentral:rRNA from 1 species